ACAGCAAUUAAAAGACUGGGAGAGGCAGCUUUGGAAUGCUGUGCUUGAGAAAAUGGUGAGACAUCUAGAAGUAACUGCACAGGCUAGAGAGAAGUCAGACAAGCAGUGGCUAACGAUAAAGAUGUGGAAUUGUAGCGUAGAGAGGAAAGUUGAAACUGUAGGAAUAGAUUAGAGUGCCAAGGAGGAAGUAGUAUAGAAAGCAAAGGGCUGGAUUGUCUGGGCAAAGGUUUGCAUUUAGAGAAUGAGAAAAGGAGAAUAAGCUAUCAAGGAAAUUAGAAAAGAAGCAGAAUACGAUAUAGAAAAAGAAUUUGGGAGAGUUCAGUGUCUUGGAAACCAAAGAGAAAAUUUCAAGGGGUGAGUAAGCAGGUAGCUGUGUUAAGUGGGAUAAUGAAGUCACAGAGGAAGCUAAAGGAUGAAGUAUAAUAGAAUAUAGCCUGUUGGAUCUGAUGAUGAAGUCACCAAUGACCUCUGAAAGUAACAAUUCCAUCAGAAUGGCAGGUGAUGAAACCAGAUUUCAAGGAUCCAAAGAGGGUGAUGAGGAAACAAAGGCACAGAGAGAUUACGUAACUGGUGAAUGGAGAGCUCAAGACCCAAGCAGGGAGUCUGACUCCAGAGCCUUGCUUAUCAUCCCUGGGAUGUUAAUGUGCACUGAGGAAACAUGCCUUGAAGAGAAAGAGCGCGAGCAAGAGAGGGGCAGAGAGAGAGGAGACACAGCAUCUGCAGCAGGUUCCAAACUCCAAACUGUCAGCACAGAGCCCAACACCGGGCUCAAACCGACAAGCAGUGAGAUCAUGACCUGAGCCGCAGUCAGACGCUUAAACGACUUGAGCCACCCGGGUGUCCCACUACUUUCUCUUAAAUUGCUAUUUUCAGAUGGAAAAAACCAAGUUCCUCUAAAUAAAUGCACACAUAAUAUCGCCAUCUAAUAUAAUCAAAGCACAUCUACUGUAGCUGUCUCUAAGGCCCUAAAUAAAAAGAGAAACUGAUUAUAUUUUUUUCUUUAUGUGUGUUCAGCCUUUUUCAAGUGAUUUGAAAUACCAACAGAAAUCUGAUCCU